CGGGUGAGUAAUGUAUGGGGAUCUGCCCGAUAGAGGGGAAUAACUACUGGAAACGGUGGCUAAUACCGCAUAACGUCUACGGACCAAAGCAGGGGCCCUUCGGACCUUGCACUAUCGGAUGAACCCAUAUGGGAUUAGCUAGUAGGUGGGGUAAAGGCUCACCUAGGCGACGAUCUCUAGCUGGUCUGAGAGGAUGAUCAGCCACACUGGGACUGAGACACGGCCCAG
rnacentral:rRNA from 1 species